GGCCUCCCAAUUCUUACCACAGGUGUGUUUACACUAUUGUAUAGAAAGAGGAGGUACAAUAAAUGCACCCCAUAUACACCUCAACACAGGUCCUUCGCUUUGUCUGUAUUGUGAAUUGGGGACAAAAAA